UGCUAGUGUGCUAAUGUUAGGGGAUUGACUAGACGACAUUGUAUGUACCUUGUUUAAUUCUUGAAUGAAAUAUGUUCUGAUUUAUACUUACAGGGAAAUAGAUGGCAUAUCAAGAGACAGGAACAAAGCCUCGCACCAGCCAGUUCUGUCCUUCUCUGCUGACAGUUUCCUCCAUCCCUCACAGAAAGGAGGGCUACCAGACAUUGUGGUGGUGGGUGUGAGCCAGGCCCUGGAUCUCAACUUGCAGUGACUACAUGUACUUCAGAACAGUUCCAGUUGUAUCAGUAUACCCUCCCAUACAUCAUCAAGUCAUUCCAGAAGGUGGAGCGUCUUCCAGUGACAGGGUCACAUGGACUUCAGCAUAGACUUACCCUCUUGACCUCUUCCCUCAUGACCUCAAUUCAUGAAAAGUGGCCUGCAGGUCGAUUUGAGCUGGCCUGGUUACCAAACCUAUUAUAGCUGCUGAGUCCUACAUCCUCUCCGCAAAUUCAGCAGCUAUAAUAGGUUUGGUAACCAGGCUAGAUUUGAGUUUCUCAUGAAUAAAGAAUGGUUAAAAAAAAGGGCAUUGGAAGAGUCAAGAGUCAAGACUAAUGUAAAGGUAGUCUUAUUAAACUGUGCUUGUAGUACUUGCUCAUCAUCAUCAUCAUCAUCUAUUGACCCAAGGAACCCAGUGUUUGCCAUAUGUAGACUACAUGUAAAGGCAGGAGGGAGCAUCAAGGAUGCCAUGAAGAUGCCUUGAGUGUAGUUGUAGUGAUACUUCUCAUACUCUCUGGCUGUAGCUACCACACUAGGGCCACUUUUUACACUUCUUGAAUAAAGGAAUAAAAGACUUAUUGUCUGUGAUACCA